UACAGAGGGGGCAAGCGUUGUUCGGAAUUACUGGGCGUAAAGCGUGCGUAGGCGGUUCGCUGUGUCCGAUGUGAAAGCCCCGGGCUUAACCUGGGAAUGGCAUUGGAAACUGGCGGGCUUGAGUGCGGCAGAGGGGGGUGGAAUUCCGCGUGUAGCAGUGAAAUGCGUAGAGAUGCGGAGGAACACCGAUGGCGAAGGCAGCCCCCUGGGUCGACACUGACGCUCAGGCACGAAAGCGUGGGGAGCAAACAGG
rnacentral:rRNA from 1 species